UUUAGAAUUACAUUUCAAAAACUAACAAACUAAUAUAAAAUACAUUUUAAUUAAAUACUGACCAAUUAUUUCCCAAAGCAACAGGGAGCCGCAGCACAGACGUGAAAGAGCCACAUGUGGCUCCGGAGCCGCGGGUUGCCGACCCCCGGUCUAGGUUGUGGAAUCAGUUCAGAGUUGAGGCGAAUGAAGUUAUCCACGCUGGUUCAGAGGAGCCUGAUGAUUGAGGAUAAUUGUUCCUGAACCUGGCAGAGAAGCAGAGUAGUACCUGGACUAUAUGCAGUCUUCAGUCCUCAGGCUGGCAAGUUCAAUUGUCCAACUGAUAUUCAAGUUUAUAGGGAAGCUGGAGGUGAUUUCAGGCAAUAGCCCAGUAAUCACUGAGUUUAGUUGGGAAGGUAGGGAUGUAGCACUACUUUAAUGGAUGAUAUAGAGCAGCAGCUGUGUUGAGGGCUCAAGAAGGGAUCCUUGUUUGCCACUUUUCCUGGAAGCAGCUGUGGAUGCUACCUCAGCUAUCUGCAAUGUAUGGCAGGUUUUAAUUGCCAUUGGAAUUCCUGGUGCGAAUUAAUCAUGCUUUUUUUUUCUGUUGUUAGUUACUGCAACUUGCUGAAUGGAGCACAAAAAAUCAACUUAUCAAAGUGUGUGUGUAUAUAUAUGUGUGUGUGUGUGUGUGUGUGUGUGUGUGUGUGUAUAUAUUAGUGUAUACUACCUUGGGAUUCAUUUUUUUGCAGGCAUUUACAGGAGAAUACAAUGGUAUUUUUGAAAAGAUAUGCAUAAAUACUGACAAACAACCAAAGUGCUAAAGAAGACAAAUCAUGCAAAUAAAAAUAAAUAAUACUGCGAACAUGUUGUAUGAUCCUUAAAAGUGAGUCCAUAGGUUGUGUAAUCAGUUCAAAGUUGAGAACAGUGAAGUUAUCCGAGCUGGGUCAGGAGCCUGACGGUUGUAGUGUAGUAACUGUUCCUGAAUCUGCUGGUGUUGGACCUAAGGCUCCUGUGCCUACUACCUGAUGACAGCAGCAAGAAGAGAGUAUGGCCUUGGUGGCGGGGGUCCUUGAUGAUGGAUGCUGCUUUUUUGUGACACUGCUCCUUAUAAAUAUGUUAAGUGGUGGGGAGGGCUUUGCCACAGUGACGAACUGGGCUUUACCCACAACUUACUGAAGCCUUUUCCAUUCCUGGGCAUUGGUAUUUCCACACCAUGCCAUGAUUCGACCAGUUAGGAUACCCUCCACUUUGCAUCUAUGGCAAUUUGGCAAAGGCAUGCCAAAUCUAUAUAAACUUCUGAGAAAGUGGAAGCACUGUGUCCUGCCUUUGUAAUGCCACUUAUGUGUUGGUGCCAGGACAGAUCCUCUGAUAUGAUAACACCAAGGAAUUCAAAGUUACUGACCCCCUUUUGCUCUGAUCCCCUAUGAGUGCUGACUCAGAGACCUCUGAAUUCUUCCUUCUGUAGUUGAUGAUCAUCUCUUUGGUUUUGCAGGUAUUGAGUGAGCAGAACAUUCUGCUGUAAAGUUAAUCAGGUUUUAUGAAAAUGGAUGUUUUUUCUUAUUCAACUAAAAUUCUCCAGCACAAAGCCAUUUGAGUGGAGCUUGCAAACUCAUUUGAAAUGUGGAAUAAAUGCUCCAUUUUUGGAUGUCCAACAUUCUUUCACAAAGGAAGUAGCUGAGUUUAGAAAUGGCGAUGAGACACCUCAAGGGCACUUUCAAGAUGUAAAGACUCAGAAAGGUGGUAUCCAUCAUUGAGGACCCCCAUCACCCAGGACAUGGCCUCUUCUCAUUGCUGUCACUGGGGAAGAAGGACAAGCGCCCAAGGACACACACUCAAUGUUUCAGGAACAGCUUCUUCCUGUCCACCAUAAGAUUUCUGAAUGGACAAUAAAUCCAUGAAAACUACCUCACUAUUUUUCCUCUCUUUCUUGCAUGCCUUAUUAAUGUUUUUAAUAUAUAUGAAUUGUAAUUAGUAGAUUUUUAAUUAUUAUGUAUGCACUGCAAUGCUGCUGCAAAACAACAAAUUUCAUGACAUAGUCAUAGGGAAAUACAGCACAGAAUCAGGCCCUUUGGCCUAUCUAGUCCAUGCAGAAAGCAUUUUAAAUGGCUACUGCCAUCGACCUGCAGUGCGACCACAGCCCUCACACCCCUACUAUCCAUGUACCUAUCCAAACUUUGCUUAAACGUUGAAAUCGAUCUUGCAUGCACCACUUGUGCUGACAGCUCAUUCCACACUUGCACAACCCUCUAAGUGAAGUUUACCCUUCUGUGUUUCCCUUAAAUUUCUCACCUUUCACCCUUAACCCAUGACCUCUAGUUGUAGUCCUACCCAACCUCAGUGGCAAAAGCUUGCUUGCAUUUGCCCUAUCUAUACCCCUCAUAAUUUUGUGUUCUUCUGUCAAAUCUCCUCUCAAUCUUUUAUGUUCUAAGGAAUAAUAUUCUAACCUAUUUAAUUUAUCCUUAUAAUUCAGGUCCUCCAGACCUAGCAACAUCCUUGUAAAUUUUCUCUGUACUCUUUCAGUCUUGUUUACAUCUUUCCUGUAGGCAGGUGACCAAAACUGCGCACAAUACUCCAAAUUAGGCCUCAUCAACAUCUUUUGCAACUUCAACAUAAUAUCCCAUCUCCUCUAUUCAUACAUUGAUUUAUGAAGGCCAAUGUGCCAAAAGCUUUCUUUACGACACUAUCUACCUGUGACACCACUUCCAAUGAAUUAUGGACCUGAAUGCCCAGAGCUCUUUGCUUUACCACACUCCCAGUAUCCUACCGUUCAUUGUGUAAAACCUACCCUGGAUGGUCCUUUUUAAAUGCGACACCUUGCACUUGUCUGUAUUAAAUUCCAUCUACCAUUUUUUAGUCCAUUUUUCCAGCUGAUGCAGAUUCCUCUAUAACCCAUGAUAGCUUUCCUCGCUGCCCACUACUUCCCCAGUCUUGGUGUCAUCCACAAAUUUGCUGAUCCAGAUUACCACGUUAUCAUUCAGCUCAUUGGUAUAGAUGACAAACAGCUAUGGACCCAUCACCAAUUCUCGCAACAUACCACUUGUCACGGGCUUCCAGUCAGAGAGUUAGCCAUCUACUACCACUCUCUAGCUUUUCCCACAAAGCCAAUGUCUAAUCCAAUUUAUUACCACAUCUUAAAUACCGAGUGACUGAACCUUCUUGACCAACCUCCCAUGUGGGACCUUGUCAAAUGCUUUGCUUAAAGUCCUUGUAGACAACAUCCACAGCCUUGCUUUCAUCCACUUUUUGGUAACUUCCUCGAAUAACUCAUAAGAUUGGUUAGACAUGACCUACCACACAUGAAGCCAUGCUGACUAUCCUUAGUCUGUUCAUGUCUAUCCAAGUACUUGUACUGUAUAUCCAAUCCCUUGGAAUACCUUUCAAUAUCUUGCCCACAACUGAUGUUAGAAUCACUGACCUACAAUGUCCUGGUUUAUGUUUAGAGCAUAUUUUAAACAGCGAAACAACAUUGGCUAUCCUCCAAUCCUCUGGUACCUCUCCUGUCACUAAGGAUGUUUUAAAUAUCUCUGCUAGGGUCCUGGCAAUCUCUGCAGUUGCCUCCUGUAGGGUCUGAAGGAAACCUUGUCAGGCCCUGGGGAUUUAUCAACACUGAUUUGCCUCAGAAUAUCAAACACC